rnacentral:rRNA from 1 species
GUGGCCUCAAAUCAGGUAGGACUACCCGCUGAACUUAAGCAUAUCAAUAAGCGGAGGAAAAGAAACUAACAAGGAUUCCCCUAGUAACUGCGAGUGAAGCGGGAAAAGCUCAAAUUUAAAAUCUGGCAGUUUCUUUUAGCUGUCCGAGUUGUAAUCUAGAGAAGUGUUAUCCGCGCUGGACCGUGUACAAGUCUCCUGGAAUGGAGCAUCAUAGAGGGUGAGAAUCCCGUCUUUGACAUGGACUACCAGGGCUUUAUGAUGCGCUCUCAAAGAGUCGAGUUGUUUGGGAAUGCAGCUCAAAAUGGUGGUAAAUUCCAUCUAAAGCUAAAUAUUGCGAGAGACCGAUAGCGAACAAGUACCGUGGGGGAAAGAUGAAAAGAACUUUGGAAAGAGGAGUUAAACAG